CUUCAGUCAGAGUGAGGAGGAAAGUUGUCAGGACGAGAGAGGAUGAAUGGGAGAGCAGAGUGAUGACUGAAGCACUCAGACAGAGAGAGAGAGAGAAAAGGAAGGGUGAAGGAAAGAGUGAGGAGUGAGAGACGGAUAGGAGCAGGAGCGAGGUGUUGUCCAGACCAGAAGGGGCCUCUAAAAGUGUUGCAUAGAAACAGUUGUUUGCUGACGUGGUUGCCUUGCCGACGCCGCAGACUCAGGUUCAUGUCACUGAUGCUCCUCCUGAGCUCUGAGUUUCUUCCACGGUGACCACGCUCGCUCUCCUCUGGUCCGCCCCCUGAUGACAUCCUGCUCCGCCGCCAGCGCACACCUGUUGCCCAGACAAGCAGAGGAUUGGUCAGUCUGACCCUGUAUCGUGUACAGAGACAACCUGCCUGUUGAGUCUUACACAUACCUUGAUAGUUCUCUCCCUCCCUCUCACGCUCCUUCUCCUUCUCCCUCUCUUCUCUCUCAUAGUCUUCCUUUCUUUGGAUUUCAAAGCGCCGCUCAAAUCCGUCCUUAGGGCGCCACAUGUCCACUAACAACAAGGGACAUUCCCAUGGGGCAACGCUUCUCCGGCCCUCUGUCUCCCAUUUGAUAGCUCCAUCUGGCUGCUGGAUGGGCUUUCCAAUGACAUCACACAACAGGAAGUCCUCUGGGCUGUGUUUCUGGAGAAC